UGAUCCACUUCCCUCUCUUCUAGCUCUGUUCGUUCCCCAAAUCCAGCGGUAAGAGGCAACCGCUGUCGCGACGCAGACGAAGACAGGGGGCAGGGAAGGGGAAGGGCUGGAGCGCGGCGGGGAUCCGCUUCUUGUCGCCGGCGCAGGUUCCACAGCAGAGUAAACUUCCUCAAAUAGAUUUGAGAAGAAGCAUCAUAAUGGAUAAAAUAUUCAGCAUCGUCCCUCAGCUGCAAGAUAGCAUGAGCCAGACUGUCGAGCCUGACUGCUCAUUUUUCCUUGUUGUUCUGCUGCUGAGACUACCGGUCUCAUGUUACUAAAAUCCCAAUAAAUCAAACACCCAGCAUGAAAAGCAAAGGUGUCUCCUGAUGCUUUUUACUUCUAAAGAUGGCUCCUCGAGAUAGCCUGGAUACUUGUAGUCUGUCCUCCUUCGAUUGGCACCCAACUAGGCCCGUCCCAUGAGCUGAUGGCCUUGCUGCUUGGGCUCCUGCUGGUGGAAAUUGGGUCGCUGGCAUUCUAUGCAUAUAAGUGACCACUUGACUAGUUUCUUGUAAUAGUUGCAUAGAAACGCAAAUGUAGUUGGAUCAAAUAUAUACAUAUCUCAGUUGGCUAGACAACUUAAGAAGUUGCACAGUGAGGGCUAAUCCGUUGCACAAUCGAUGGUAUUCAAAUGGAUAUUAUGUAAACUAUGUUCAAGCAGUGUGUGCUUUUUGGUUGCACAGUCACGUGUGCUUUGUUGUCAAGGGUAUGUGUUCAUGCAAGAGUUUGCAGAUCAAAGCAGUAUAUAUCCUAGUCCGCUGCGCUUAGUCACACUUUGUAGAGGGAAGGUAUAUGUACUUGCAAGGUUGGCGGCUAGUUUAGUUUUGGCUCCAGUGCCUGAAUCAUGUUCAGGCAGUGUGUAUGCUGAUUUUUUGGCUGCACACUCAUGUGUGCCCUGUUGGCCAUAAAGUGCAUCAAGUUGCACACAUUUUGUUUUAUUUUGUAGGUGUGCUUUGAAAAAUCAGCAUUAGUUGUUUACUUCAUGGCAACUUUUUUUAUAUCAAUUGUUUUUGCUCAUUUUUUCUUUUAUACAUUUGGUUUGGUUGCUUCGACUAAUUUGCUUGUAUACAUUUUUUUCACAGACCAAAAAUGGUUGUAGAAGGAGAUGCGAUUCCAAGUGAAGGAGAGGGGUCUACAAACCAUUCUUCUCGGCGAAACUCGAAACGGCCGCCGAGCGGUAGCCGUGUCGUGCUGAUAUCGACGGGGAGGCAGAGGAUGAUGAGGUCGGUGAUCAAUUCCACUUUGUGAAACGGCAAAAAUGGAAGGCGACCAUGCAUGUGGAAGUUGUAGCUGGAGCUGGCACAUCAUAGACCAAAAUGGCUAGAGAAGGAGAUGUGCCUGACAAUGAAACAGAGGGUUAUGCAAAUCCCAUCUCACGACGGAACUCAAAAAGGGCUGCUAAGCGGCAGCCGCAUGGCGAUGAUAAGGACGGGGAUGAAGAGGGUGACGAUGGUGUCGAAAGAUUCCUCUUAGUAAAACUGCAGAGAAGAAAGGUGCGCACGGAGGCAGUAUCCAAAGGGAUAGAUGCCACAUCUUCUGCAGCAGUCGCUGAGCUACUUUUGCAAGGAGAAAUUUGGUUAGGGGGGAAAGGGGAAGUCAAGGAGGAAGGAUCUGAACAGGAGGAGAAAGGAUCACCUCCUUUUCACCCUUGUUGGUGCUGCCUGGUAUUUUCUGAUAUCUCUGGCGAUGGAGAUCCAGACCUGGGAACCCCUUGUUCAUCAGGGAAGAAGGUGGGGGCUUGGGGAAAAGAAGUUGGUGGCCAGGAGGGUGUGAGAGCUUCUGAAGGGGAUGGGAGGGCAUGUGAUGGCCCGAGGACUGCGUCCAGUGUGUGGUUUGUUGAGUUGGCAUGCAUCUGCUGCUACCGGUGGAGGGCUUUCCUUUUCUGGGAUCGAUGGGGACCGAAUCUUUUCUUUUCUGGGGGCCGCUCGGGACCGCUAGGGAGCGGCCGGCCGCUCCCUAGAUGCGUCCUAGAGGAAUACGGGAAAGUGUUUUUUCAGCCAAGAUUGAAGGGUUACGGGGAAACUAAACUGGUUUCCUUGCCUGUUGGCUUUGCUGGGCGAUGCUAGCCUUGCCGAUGCAGGCUAGCCAAAUUGGCUCGCCCGCUUGAUGGAAGGAAAAGCUGGAAACCACAGGCAACGAGGUACGAUCGCCCACGAACCAAAUAAUUGGCUUCCUUGCUAGGCUGGGCAAGGCAAGCGCUUGCCAAGGAACCAAACAGACCUGGCAUGGGUGGGUAGUUUUUUUUGAUUUAAUGGUUGAGAUUUUCUAAUCUAACAAAUAGAUGGUUGGAUGUUUAUAAUUUUUGUGGCUUAAUUUAGAGAGAGAGGAUAUGGAACAGAUCGAGGUUUUAUUUUCUUUUCACGUGCGUGAGCGAAGGUCUUUGGUUUUUUUUACAUGGUGAGAUAACUUAUUAAGGGCAUUGGUGGGGAAUUUUCAUUCUUUUCAAUCCAUUGGUUGUGCUGGCCUAAUCGAUUUCAAUUGACGGCUAGAUGUUUCUAAUUAUUGUGAAAUUUUCUAGGUAAUUCUCUUUUUUCUGGUUACCCCGUAAAGCACUUUUUAUAUAUAAAUAGAUCCCUCUCCAGACAUCGGCCUUGCGGGCGACGGACACUCCACCGUCAUGAGCACAUGCCUGAGUAGCGCGUUCCACACCAACGGACACCGCAUCGUCAUGAGCACAUACCCGAGGAGCGCAUCCGACACCAACGACUCUAAUCAAUUUGUCGGACUACCGGCCCUCAUCGACAAACUGACGCCGGAGGGUUCUCACCUGGUGCACAGGACGCCCGCAACAGCUAUGAAGUUUCCCGCUCGUCUCGGGAUUAU